ensembl:lncRNA
AUGAGAGGACAGGGAAGCCCCAGAGUGCUUCAGGAAGCAGCACGUGCCUGGCCACCUCCUUCCUGUCCACCUGCUCAUAAGGACCUUCUCCACCAAAUCAUCACAGCCAAGCAGACUUUUAACCUCCUGGACGGAAGAAUUCAGUCCGGCUUGUUGCCUCUCUCCGCUGACUCGAGAAUCCAGCCGGAGUCGCUACGUCACACUUCCUGCAGCAGCCCAAGGGUCAGGAGUUCACCCGCUGAACCGUUUGCCUGGGGAGCCGUGGUCCUAAUAAGCAUGACAUCCUCCCCCAAAGCUUCAGCAGCUGUGUUUCCCCCUGGCUCGGAAGGGAAGGAACCAAAUAAAGCAGCAGGAGGAAUUACGUGGUGCAGAACUGCUCAGCGUGGGAUUCCAGGUCCAAAGGUCAGAUGCUCAAUUAUGGUUUUGAGGAGGUCAGGCUUGGGGGUUUUGCCUCAGUUUUCCUGUUGCUAAAAUGGAGGGAGAGGGGAUCGUUUCUGGGAAACGAGCGGUGUCUGAUAAAGUAGGAACUUCACCCAGGUUCCAACAGUCGCCCAAAACCAAGCCAACCCUUUUUUAUAGAGAACUUUCUAGACUGCCAAACCCACCCUAGGUGCAGAGAACUGCAAUCCAGCUGAGCUUGCAUCUUCAAUUCUCGGUCUACACUUUUCACUGGAUGAAGCAGAAAUCUGGAAGGCUGAACCACCAGCUGAUGGCUUAAGGCCCCCAAGCAUCUCUCCCAGGCGAUGGAAGACUGGCAGAGGGCUAGAAGCUGGGCAGACAAAAGUGUCCCAGUCCCUAGAACCUGUGCUCCUACAUUAUUCCUGGGAGCACCAACGUAAAAGAGAUUUCUGAGAACUCACAACCUACCACUCACCACCAAAGGCAACAGGAGCGGAGAGAUCGAGGGGCUGCAAAGUUUGGGAGGGGGUUGAAGAGGAACUAAACACCUGACUAGAUCAGAACAGGCGAGAGAGAAGGGGGCUCCUGGCUGUUAGUCUAGGACUCAAAAUUAUUAUUAUUUUUAAAACCAGUAGGAAAAAAAUUUAACCUGAAUGAAACACCUCUGUGUACUAGGCUAGGGAGCACACAGCCAAGUAUAAAGGGCAGAGCCCAUUUGGGGGGCAAGACUGGCUCUAAGGCACUUGUAAUGGUGCUUCCAAAGGACGCAUCUAACAAAAUCACUUAAAUGGAAAUUAGGCCAAGUCCUGGCAAUUGUAUUAGAGGAUUUUCGUUGCCAGUGGCAGCCACCCAGUUUAAACUGGCUUAAGCCAACAUCGGAAAUUUACUGCCUCACUGGCCUAAAACAAAAACCAGGGGUUCGAGCUUCAGGCGUAGUUGGAUCCAGGCUCAGACAGUGCCAUGAAGACUCAGCCCCCUCCUCUCAGCCCUGCUUCCCUCCACACCAGCUUCAUUCUGAGAUGCUAUGUGGCAUCCCCAGGAGGCUGAAGGCUUACAACCUCCUUCCUGCUAGCAAUUGCAGAGGAAAAAGAGCUUCUCUUUCCCAAGGGCCUUCAUUGACCCCUUUUGUGGCACAGUCAUUGUGCAGGGAGAAGGAUCCGUUGAUUGGUCAGACUGCAGCCAUGGACAGAGUUUCAUAUGAGGGUCUGGAACUUCAUGAGAAAAGCCUGGUCUGGAGAUUUAAAAAAAAAAAAAAAAAAAAAAAGGACUCAUCGGGAUAGAGAUGUUACCAGUUUUGCUAUUACUGGGCCGUGGGGUCUUGGGCAAGCCAGUGACCCACUGUGAACCUCUGUCUCCUCUUCUGCAGAAGAGUGACAGCAUCUCCUGCAGAGGCCAACUAAGAGAACUUAGGUGAAUUACCUAGCACAGAGUGUUCAACAGAUAGUGGCUGCUCUUCUAUUUUUCUGGGUUUCCCAGGUGGUGCUAGUGGUAAAGAACCCGCCUGCCAAUGCAGGANNNNNNNNNNNNNNNNNNNNNNNNNNNNNNNNNNNNNNNNNNNNNNNNNNNNNNNNNNNNNACCCACUCCAGUAUUCUUGCCUGGAGAACCCUAUGGACAGAGGAGCCUGGGGUCGUGAAGAGUCAGACACGACUGAAGUCACUUAGCACAGCACGCAUUCCUUUUUCUAUUUGUUUCUCACUUGAGUUGCCCCUUGCCUGUUUCUACCUUAAGACUGCUGGAGGCUCACUCUUCGGCACUCUUCAGUACUCUUGCCUGGAAAAUCCCAUGGAUGGAGGAGCCCGGUAGGCUGC